CCUACGGGCGCAGCAGUGGGGAAUAUUGGACAAUGGGCGAAAGCCUGAUCCAGCCAUGCCGCGUGUGUGAUGAAGGCCUUCGGGUUGUAAAGCACUUUCAGUGGGGAAGAAAGCCUUGGGGCUAAUACCCUCGAGGAAGGACAUCACCCACAGAAGAAGCACCGGCUAACUCCGUGCCAGCAGCCGCGGUAAUACGGAGGGUGCGAGCGUUAAUCGGAAUUACUGGGCGUAAAGCGCGCGUAGGCGGUCUGAUAAGCCGGUUGUGAAAGCCCCGGGCUCAACCUGGGAACGGCAUCCGGAACUGUCAGGCUAGAGUGCAGGAGAGGAAGGUAGAAUUCCCGGUGUAGCGGUGAAAUGCGUAGAGAUCGGGAGGAAUACCAGUGGCGAAGGCGGCCUUCUGGACUGACACUGACGCUGAGGUGCGAAAGCGUGGGUAGCAAACAGGAUUAGAUACCCGGGUAGUC
rnacentral:rRNA from 1 species